rnacentral:rRNA from 1 species
GGUUCAGUCAUGGCUCAGAUUGAACGCUGGCGGGAUGCUUACCACACAUGCAAGUCGAACGACAGCACGGACUUCGGUCUGGUGGCGAGUGGCGAACAGGUGAGUAAUGUAUCGGAACGUACUUUAGUAGCGGGGAUAACUUUACGCGAAAGCGUAGCUAAUACCACAUACGCCCUUCGAGGGAAAGCAGGGGGACCUUCAGGCCUCUGCCACUAUUGACGGCCGAUAUCGGAUUGUAGCUAGUUGGUGGGGUAACGGCUCACCAGGCGACGAUCCUUAGCUGGUUUGAGAGGACGACCAGCCACACUGGGACUGAGACACAGCCCCAGGCCUCUACGGGAAGCCAGCAGUGAAAUUUUUGGACAAUGGGGAAACCUGAUCCAGCCAUCCCGCGUGUGCGAUGAAGGCCUUCGGGUUGUAAAGCACUUUUGGCAGGAAAGAAACGGCACGGGAUAAUACAGUGUGACGGUACCUGCAGAAUAAGCGCAGCUAACUACGUGCCAGCAACGCGGUAAUACGCCCGCACGUAGGGUGCAAGCGUUAAUCGGAAUUACUGGGCGUAAAGCGUGCGCAGGCGGUUCGGAAAAGAAAGAUGUGAAAUCCCAGAGCUUAACUGAACCUGCAUUUUUAACUACCGAGCUAGAGAGUGUGUCAGAGGAGAGUGGAAUUCCGCGAUGAGUAAUGAAAUGCGUAGAUAUGCGGAGAAGGAACACCGAUGGCGGCAGCCUCCUGGGAUAACACUGACGCUCAUGCACGAAAGCGUGGGGAGCAAACAGGAUUAGAUACACUGGUAGUCCCCGCCUAUCAACGAUGUAUGACUAGCUGUUGAAGACCUUCGGGCCUUGGUAGCGCAGCUAACGCGUGAAGUUGACCGCCUGGGGAGUACGGUCGCAAGAUUAAAACUCAAAAUUGACGGGGGCCCGCACAAGCGGUGGAUGAUGUGGAUUAAUUCGAUGCAACGCGAAAAACCUUACCUCUUAUGACAUGUCUGGAAUCCCGAAGAGAUUUGCAGGAGUGCUCGCCGAAGAACCGGAACACAGGUGCUGCAUGGCUGGCGUCAGCUCGUGUCGUGAGAUGGGGUUGGUCCGCAACGAAGCGCAGCCUUUGUCAUUGGAAUUGCUACGAAAAGAGGGCCUCUGGCGAGACUGCCGGUGAUGCGACAAGCCGGAGGGAAGGUGCGGGGAUGACGUCAAGUCCUCAUGGCCCUUAUCGUUGGGGCUUCACACACGUCAUACAAUGGUCGGGACAGAGGGUCGCCAACCCGCGAGGAGCCAAUCCCAGAAACCGAUCGUAGUCCGGAUCAUGAUCCGCAGCUCGACUGCGUGAAGUCGGAAUCGCUAGCGUCGCGGAUCAGCAUGUCGCGGUGAAUACGUUCCCGGGUCUUGCCCACACCGCCCGUCACACCAUUAGAAUUAGGUUUUACCAAGUAGUUAGCCUAACCGUAAGGAGGGCGUUACCACGAGCAGGAUUCAUGACUGGGGUGAAGUCGUAACAAGGUAA